GGCCUAAAAUGAGACUUAAAAAAAGUGCGACGAUUUGGAUCUAAAAUAAUAGUCUAAAAAGGGUCUUUAAGAAAAAAUAGGAGUCGCCACUUGGUAUUGAGUUAAAGUGUACCAAAUCACCCAAAAAUGUGUUUUUUAAUAAAAAAAAAAUAAACAAAACCCUUUUUAGACAAAUCCAGGUCUUCAAAAAACAAGAUAAAAGAGUUCAGGAGUCACGGUUGAAGAAAGGGAAGGCAAAGAUUUGAUCUAAGGCACCCUUUCAACCUAGCCAAAGUUAGUUGCGUGAUUGAGUCGAAAAUUUUCUUAAUAUAACCUAUAAAACUUAUCAUAUUUGGAUAUUUCUACAUGGAUGCAAAUCUAGACCUAAUAGAUAUUGAGAGGGUCGAAAUAUCUUUUCAAAGUUUAAUUGCUGCAAAUCAUAUUAAUUGUGAUGUCCAAAAUGAUCCUUAAAAGAGGUCACGAAUAUGCAAAGAUGAGACUCGAAGGAAAGAAGAAUUAAAAUAAAUAUACGUGACCUAAAGAAGAGGAAUGCAACGUAACGGGUACGGGGACUAAGAUUCGUAAUUUCGAUUUUCCUUUUUAUAGAAGAGAUACGAGCGUGCUAAGGUUAAGAAGCCAUACUCGUCCAUUUCUCAUAUUUGAAAGGUGACUCUUCUAAUGUAGUCAAGCAAAUGAACUAACUUAUUUCUAAUUUUCUAAAUAGAAUGCAAGUCUAAAUGUCAUAUUUUGCACACAUAGGGGUAAAGGGGGAUAAUAUAUAAAGAAAAUAUCAUGCAAGAUGUGAAAAGAUCCUAAAAAUGAAAAACGUGCAUGAAAUAUGAUGAAUGUCACGCAAAGAAUGUGAAUCUAGCGCGAAAACAGUCUAAAUGGUCUAGCAUUGAACUAGCCCACCUCUACAAGUCUUCACUAGCAUUAGACUAGUGUGGUGACGCCAUACAUUUAUUAUAACUAAAUAAAUCAUAUAAAGUAUAAUUAAAACAAGUAAACACAUAAAACACAUAGAUCACAUAACACAUAAGCAUAAUUUAUAGAUGCAAAACCCUAAUAAAAGCAAGUAAAUACAUAAGCACAUAAGCAUGCAAGCACCCAAGCAAAUAAAUGAAAAUAAGAGCCUAACUAUUACAUUCGGGGUCCUAACUACAAUCUAAAGGAAGGAAUUCUAAAAAAAAAUAAUAACCUAACUAUUACAUUUAUCUAACUAAAUACGCUUUUAGCAAAAAUUAAAACCUAUCUAUUACAUAGGCUAGCUAAAUACAUGUCUUGAACACAUAUCUAUUACAACUUGACAUUUUAAUGCCUCUCAAAUAAUCAUCAAAAUUAAACAAAAUAAAUGAAACUUAAAAUGAAUAAGAACGACUAAUUAAAGAUAAAAGCACUCAAAACAUGCAAUUACACAUAAAAACACAUUGGAGCACAUAAAAGAGUUUAAAAUAAUAAAAGAGGUUAUCUUCCUUGAAGUGGUGAUUAAAUAGGCUGAAAUUUAUCCUACUUAUGCUCCAAAAUGAACAAAAUGAUCAAGACACCAAUUUAAUUAUAAAGAAAUGGAAAUAAUCAUGAAAUCUAUCAAUUAAAUCACUUAAAUGAAGCAUAAUUAACAAUUAAAGCAGAAAAGUGACCUAUAUUUAAGAAAUCUAAACUGCUAGGGACCUAUUUGCAAAAAAUUGAGAAAGUUUUUAGGGUACAAUUACAAUUAUUACAAAAUUUAGGGGUCAAAAUGAAAUAAAAAUAAAAUUUAGGGACCUAUUUAUAAUUAAAUUAGGAACCUGAUUGAAAGAACUCAUAGUAAAAAUAUUCAAAAGUACAGGGACUGAAAUGCAAUUUUUGUUUUCUGAUUUCUUGAGAAAAUAGGCUUUGGGGCCAUCUUAUUAUUUCUUUGGGCUAGAACUCCCAUUGGCCCAACCAAAGUCCAAAGCAAAAGAACGGGCCAGUCCAACAUUUUUGACCCAAAUAAAUCCAACAAAAUGGAUGGAUUUUAACCCUCCAAACCCAUAUCAAACCCAAUCAAAUUAAAUCAAAACCCACUUCCAAAACCCAAUCAAACAAAACCAAGUUCAAACCCUAAACUAUUUUACCAAAAUCCAACAAGAUGAUAAAUCAACUAAAAAAUCAUUAACCCUAAUUAUUCCCUAAAUCCCAGAAAUAAUUUGCUUUAAAGAUAUAUUAUAACACCCAUAAGAUGAUUAAAAUUUAAAAGGACUCGAAAUGGUUCAUUGGCAGAAUUUUUGUGCCAUGGUGGAAUUAUUUAAAAAAUAAGGGGUCUAAGUGAAAUUUCAGAAACUUUGAUGCAUCUCCUUCGAAGCUUUCCUCUGCGGUUUCUAGGUUUGCUAUGGAAUUUCAUUUAAUCAGCCAACAUUCACACGCAUAUUGCAUCAUGAAAAGGAAGGCAAUCAAAACCUUACUCUAUGGAACAAAUCAAACCAGAAUCCUUUCCAAAAACUCCUAGCAGCAUCAUCCAAAAACAUCAACAAGGCUCCACAAAGAGUUGAAGAAAGCAGCUUCUUGGGCAAACAAAUGAAUAGGAAGAAAGGAAAUGGGGGCAACAAAGACAACAAACAUGCACAACUAACGGAAACUUAAAUCUUGUCAAAUUUCUCAUGCAUUCUUCUUCCCUUUUGAUAACAGAAACAAAUAAUAAUAAUAAUAAUAAUAAAAAAAAAAAAACAAGAUUCAACGCUCAAAGCUUCCCCCUAGAUUCAUAAAAAGAAAAACAAACAACUUUCAUCUAUAGGCUUCGAAUAAAGUCCAGAAUAUGGCUCUGAUGGUGAACUUACAAAGAUAAAGAAGCCUGACGAAUCGAUGGAAGCUGCGUGGAUUUUUGGAGUGAAGUCAGGAGCCCUAUUUGCUGCAGAAAUUUCAACAGUGACGAGAAAUUUCAACAGUGGCAUCGUACUGAGGGGCUUAACGGGAAAGAAAAAUGCGAGAAAAUGGGUGGAAAUGGGAUCCAAAUUGCCGUUGCAAAAUCUUGUACUGUUUCUGCUUCUUCUUCUUCGUACGAAGAAGAAGAAACCAGCGCGCGUGCGUGGACUCCAUUUUUUUAUUAUUUUUUUCUUCUUUUUUUUGUUUUACUUUGUCUUUCUUUUCUUCUUCCUCUUCUUUUUUUUCGAUUUUUCUAAAAAUGAUGAUUUUUAUCAAGAAAAUAAAAAUAAAAAAAUAAAAAUAAAAUUUAACGAAAAAUAAAUAAACAAAAUGGUAAAAUUUUGGUGUCGACGGUGUGUUUUUUGGGAGUUUGCCUGAAAUUCUACUAUAGCCUACUGUAGACUUUUUAUAAAACCUUUUAGGUAUUUGAGUGUUUGGAAAAUUUUAUGGAGUGUGUAUUUUUAAAAUUUUUGGGGUUUCCAUAGACAAAGUUGUUAAAAAUUUGUCUAUUAAAACACCCAUAAAAAUAAGAUGCCAAACAAAGCCUGCAAUUUAACAGAUACAAUAAAAUCUGAAAAAUUAUGAAUAAAUAUGAAAAAUACAAAGAAAUUUCAGGAUUGUUUUCUAAUAAGAUAAUUCUCUGCAACUCCUUUCUGUACAUGUUGCAAUUGCCAAAUCUAUUAAUUAAUUACUUUAAUCUCCAAUAAUUAUUAUGAAAUCUAUUGAAAUAGACCUAAGAUUUUAAAAAAAAUAAAGAUUGAUAUCCAUAUCUGAAAUUAAUUCAGAUAUACCAACAAAAUAAGAAAAAGAAACUGAACAAAAAUUUCACUAGUGAUGACAGAAAAUUUUCACUAGAAAUCCAAAGGAGAAAUAGAAAUUUCUCAAUAGGAAACCUAAGAGAAACGGAGAUCUCUCACUAAAAAAAUUUGAGAAGAGACUUUAUUAGAAAACCAAAGUAAAAAUUGUAUACAUGGAUUUGGAAGGCCUUUUGAGAAGAAGAGAAGAAGUAGAGAGACGCUGGAGAAGAGCAAAGGUAGUGAGAGUACAAGUACCCUAAUAAAAUCAAAUGGGUUUGGAAAACUUUUAACUUGGCAAGCCUUAUUUCUAGAACCGCUCCAUUGAGCAAAUGCAUCCUUUGAUUUUUCUAAAUAUUUAUUUCUUAACAAAUGCAUUUAGUAAAUGCGUGUUGGAAAGAUUGUAUUAAUUGAAUGCAUUUUCUUAACAACUUUUACUAUUUGGAAAAUCUUUUAGGAAAACGCCAUCAUCUCGGAAUUUCCUCCUCAUUCACGUGGUCUUUACUCAGGACAAUUAUCCCUCACCCCUGCCUCCCCCUCCCCCCCCUCCUCCCUCCCCCCCCCCCCCCCCCCCCAAAAAAACCCCCCCAAACUUCCCAUUCCUCCUCCCUCCCCGCUCCUGAAGCUUGAUAAUAGAAUUUUGUUUAGGCUUCCAAGUUUUAAAAAGCUCUCAAUUUUGCACUAUAUUUGCACCUAAAUUUUGUAAACGUACUCCAGGAGAAGUGAGCUAUAGGAACUCCAUUUUUUUAUACAAGUUGUCCCGAAAGGCCGAAACACAUAAAGGUUCUUAUGGGAAUAUAUUUAUAUUGGAGAACAAAUAUAUAUCUAAAGAUACAUAGGACACAGAAAGCAAAAUAUAGGUAUGAUUUUUUUCCUUUUUAGUUUUUUGAGCACGUAGGUUAUGUUCAACAAUCAAUAUUGAAACAGGCUUCCAUCUACUACUUUUUGCAUGUUCUUUUUUCUUCUCCAGCUCCUUUUUUGCUGAAGAACAAGGAAAAAAUAGAACCAACCAUAAUUUUCGCAUUAUGUUUUACUGAAGAAUAGACACAAAUUCGAAAUCAAACAUGAUCCCGCUUCAUUCAGCAAUUUAUUUAAAUUUGGGGAUUGAUAACCCAUUUUUUAUUUAUCAUUUUUGCCUCUGGCAUGAAGAGCCAGGACUACAUUUCAUCUGCCAAUAGAUAACGACAGGAACUGAUUAGAUAGCAGCAUAGGACUGCACCCUGAAUUUCUCACUGUAAUGUGGGUGUGGGUGAUGAUGACGGUAGGGCCAAAGCAUGAUCCCUCCAAAGUUGACAUAGGUCUCCACAAAGGGAAGAACCACGCUAACUAGCACCUCAUAUGGGAUGUAACCGCCGUCAGGUGCGACCUCUGGGGAUACAGGAAUUCCCAGGAAUAGUGCAUUAACGCCUGGAUACGAAGCCCACUCGUUCCAACUCUGGAAGAGGGCAAUGAGAUUGUCUGGGGUAUACUGACAAGUUGGAUUGUCGAAAAAUUCCACCCACACGUAAUCAAAAAGGCCAGUUCUGAUAGAAGCGUCAAGCCAACGGUCAGGCAGAAGACACUCGGGUCCAGCAGCUAAGUACACCUGCUUAUUUUCUGGUGUGUUGUAUCCCGACAGUGCCCGAGCAAGAUCAUCCAAGUAAUCUGGCUUUCCAGAGUGGAUAUGAUAGUCUACACCAUUUAAAACAGCUUCGCCUAAUGGACGAGAGCUUGAACUGCCACCUAAGAAAUUGUCCCAGAUAUAGGAUGCCACUUCGUAAGCUUCAGCGGUGGAAGAAAGGUUCGGAGCUCCAGCAAGAGAAAUUAACACUUGGAUGCCUAGGCUCUGGCAAAGUUCUAUCUCCGAACUUAGUAAGGGGCAAGUGGUCGAAUUACAAUGCCUUAAACUCAAUUCAGGUGUUCGGCCACCACCAAUAUUUCUCAGAAAGGCAAUAUUCACGUACUGAACAGGAGCUUUCACGUAGCGAACAGUACCUUCAGUGCAUAACUCCUUCAGGCUUCCUUCGGUAGCGUCUUGGCCCCAAUAGGUGGAAAUUCGAACAGCUUCGGAGGACCCGAUCAGAGAUGCCAUCAACAGGAACGUUAUUGCUAAGAAGAGCGGUUGCAAGGAGAGAGCCAUUUUUUGUCUUUUCAGUGAUUUCUUGUGGUUUUGCUUUGAUGAGUUUAGUCGCACAGUGAUGGACCAUUUUAUAGAUGAGUUUAUGUCAAGUGGAUGCUCAGCAUCCAGAAAAUCCAAACAUCCGUACAUGAAAACGUGAAUAGUACGAUUUCUGUGAAAAAAAACGUGAAUGGCAUGGCAUCACUGUCGUGUUUAAUUUUGCUGGGGAAUGCUAUUAUUGUACCUGUUGUUUCGGUAGAACAAAAAUACAAAAAGUCGAAUACAAAAAUUACCAGUAGUUAUAACAAUAAUUAUAACAAUUAUAAAAUUAAAUAUAAUAAAAUAGUUAAAAUAAUAAUAUAAUAAUAUACAAAUGUGGAGAGUUGAGGUAUUGCCAUAAAUCAAUUAAUACUACUUCCAUAUACGAUCAAGAAUUUAUUAGGAUCUCAAGGUUCAUUUAUAAUUAAGUACACGGAUUAGGUCUACCUUACAUGUAAGUUCUUGGACUACUACCCAUUUUCAAUUAAUUUUGAGAUGGAAACUCAUAUUAUUUAUUGAUAAGCAUUAUCCAUUUUAGAUUCUUAGAUCAACAUAUUAAAAGAUAGUAUUCUUUUAAGAAUAGUUUGACAUUCAAUUUAUAUGAAAUAUUUGAACGGUGAAAACGGAGUCAAAAUUGUAAUUUUUAAAAUUGUAAUAAAAUUUGUAAUGAUGAAUAAGAGGGAAAAACUUAAUCAAUUUCACAUGAAUGUAAUCUUAUGUAUAACUUGCACAAAUGAUGAACAUAUUGUGAAAGGUGUUGACUUGCAAAAAAAUUUAAAUUAAUUUUAUUAGGAUAUAAUGAAGAGUAAGUUCUAUUCAAUACAAUAGAGAGCAGUCUGGUCCUACUUUUAAAGGCCUGAUAACGGUUAACAAUGUUGGGUUGAAUAUGUAAUUGGGUAAGAAAGUAACCGUCAUGCAUAACAUGGAAGUCGAAAAAUUGAUGUCUAGGUCUAAUUAAUACACCUUUGCAGAAGUCAAAAUUUUCUCCACAUCAUUAAAAAGAAUAAGGGUAAAUUAUAUAUAACCUCCCAAAAUAUGUGCAUAUUAAUAUAUAUGCUCCUCCCAAAGCUUUAGAACAUUCACAUCGCCACUGUGGUUUUAUAAAAAGUGAAAAAUAGAUGAAAAGUAUCAUCGGUUAUAGCGAUUGAAUAAUCAAUCGUGGCACUUAAUUGACCUGCGAUCGGUAUGAAUAGUCACUCGUCCCCUGUAGUUUUUGCAUUUAUCCAUAUAAUUCGCUUGUGAUUUUUUGCUUGGUGGUUAGGCUGUGGUUUGAUUUAGUACUUAAGUAAGAACAAUACUCACAUUUCAACUAACAAUAUUACAGAGGCUAUUUUUCGUCAAGUUUCUAGUUUGCAUGAAAAAAUAGUGGGUUGACGUAGAUAUUUUAAAUUGUUAGCUGGCCAUGUGAGAAGGUAUGAAACUAAAAGGGGUUAUGCAUAAUUUACCCUUGAAAAAAUUUAAGAGCACUUAAUAGGAGAGAAACUUUGCAACUCCAAGUUUAUAUAUCUAUUAAUCACAUGGGUUUUCUUGCAUGCUCAUCUACAAGUUAAAUCAUUUCAAUGGCCAGUUCGUUACAUCAUAUACCGUUAUGUGCAUCCACAUAAUCAAUCAUUGCUAACAUAUUUUACCCCAUAGCUUUAUAUCCACUGGGACAACUGAAGUGUCUUGCAUACCAUGAUAUCAAUGAUUUAACUCCAUACAAUUUAUCAAUUUUUUUUAGUACACAUAGUAAAUGAGGUUCUGAACCCAAACUCAUUAUAAGGGUACGAGCAUUCUUCCUACAACUAGAAAAAAGCACAUCAAGUCCUUGGGGAUGUUGCUUGGAGGAUUAACGUGUCUCGUCAUUAUCAGAAAUCGAUUGUUUAACUUAUUUUGCUUUUCUUUUCUUAUUUUCUCCCCUUAGAAAGGGCGGCCCAGCCGGCCCAGUCGCAUUAGGAUUAGAGUGGUUUGCAAUGAAAAACAAAAAGGAAAAAAGUUGAUCCAUUUGAAAAAGUCCUUCUGUAUAUAGCUCGAAUCCCAACCUAAAUUUUGGGUUAUAUUUUUGGCCCCGUCUGGAAUCUGAGUUUUUUGGAAGUUUAUCUAAAACUUUACUGUAGAUCACUGUAGAAGUUGUAAAAAAACUUGUAAGAUAAAAAACUUUUUUUCCUUUUCAUUUUCUUUCUUUUUUUUUCCUUUUUCUUUUUUCUUUUUUCUUUUUUUUUCUUUUUUUAUCUUUUCUUUCCUCCCUUCCCGCUUCUUCUCCCUUCCCCUUCCCCCUUCCCUCCCCUGUUCCUCUCUCGAAACUGCAUCAAGCAGUCUGCAGUAGAAAUAUAUAUAUAUUUUUUUGCAUUUUCUCUCCCCAUCUCCUACCCGCCACCCCUCUCCUCCCUUUCCCCCUCUCCUCCCCUCUGCCCUUCCCCCUCCCUCUUCCCUCGCCCGGCAGUCAAGGCGCAAUCAAUGCCCAGCAGAAACUUUUUUUUUUUUUUUUGCAAUUUUCAGCCUUCCCCUUUCCUCGCCCUCCCCGCAAUCUGGUGCAAAGAAAUGACCCCGGUGUGAUCUAGUCUAGCUACCAGAUCGGCCAGAGGGGAAGGGGAAGGGUGGUCGGGGAGGAGUGGGGGAAAGGGAGAGGGAUGAAAAAAAAGGGGUCAUACAAACUGGGUAAAGGAGGAGGAUGGCGGGGAGUGGGAGAAAGGGAAAAAAAAAAAAAGGAAACGGCGCCGGAGGUGGUGGUGGGUUGGGAUGGGGGAGGAAGAAGAAGAAAAAGGGAAGGGAAUUUUUUAUUUUUUUUUUGUAAGUUUUGGGUAUUUUGAAGUGUGUAGGUUAAAAAUUUUGAUAAGUUUUUUGGGUUCCUGUAGCAAAAGUUGUUAAAAAACUAGUAGCAUACAAACUUGUGAAAAAUCUGAGCUUCCAAACAGGCCCUUUGUUUGCAAGUAGCAAGAUCUACAGAUUUUGUAUUUUAGACCUCAAAUGAAACAGAUUUUAUAUUUUAAAGACUAAUUUGGGACCAUAGUGUCUCAUUUUGAAAUUUAGGAAUCAAGGGGAAAGCAUUCAAGUAAUUUGUUCAUCAGAUGUACAUUUUCAUUGAAGACCUCAUUGAUGUAUGUUUCAAUUAACAAGUAAUCUCUGGAACUUCCAUCAGUGUCAAGCUAAUCCGCAUCUAACGACGCUUGAGAAUACGUCUUUGUGGGAAAUUGCACAGCAAAUCUAAAUAUUUGCGCACAAAAGCCUGAAAUUUUUAGCACUUAUUGUAUAACUAGAUUAAACCCUGUGCAUUUGCACAAUCCAUUAUCGUUGAUUGGAAGCGAUAUCCAAAAAAAUGAAAUAUGUCAUUCUUAUAUAUAUUCUUUCCACAUGUAUAACUUUUGCAUCUUUACCUUAUAGUGUUUGAUACCAAUCAUCACUCAAUCAAAAGGUGAAUAGUCAUGUAAGAUUCAGUGAAACUAAAAGUAAACAGCUUAAUGAGGAAAUAAAAAUAAAAAACUUAAAUCAGGAAGUUGCUUCAGUGUUUUGCUCUAAUCUAGUAAUGACAAUUGACAACCUAUUGUAGUAACAUGAAAUUUAUGACAUAAAAUCAUUUGGACUUAUUUGCUAAGAAUUUCGUGACCAAUCCCCUUGAUGUAGGAUAUAGGAAUAAACAAUAUUUGUUUGUAACUAUUUUACUUCUUCAUGCUAGCUUUGUGAUAACUAAAAGGCAAAAAUAAUUUAGCUAAAUCCAAAACAAAAGGCCAAAAUAAAUAGCCUCACCAUGAAAAUUUUGAAAAUGUUUUCUAAAAAUAUGAAUAUAUUAUAUAUGUAAGCAAAAUGAUUUUCAACCAUAUUAAAGUAUAUUUUUUUAUGUUAAAAGAGCUUUGUAUAAUUUCUCUAUACCACAUAAUUACUACAAACUCCUAACUUUAAAACACCUCCAAUGGAAUGAAAAAUUCCCUUUAAUCCCAAAUAUAAUUAUUUAAAACUAUAAUACUUGAAUAAGACUAGUUUUGGAUUUGGGGUUUGUGCACCAUGCAUCCAACCAUGUUGUAGACAAUGAACUUGUUUUUGCUAUUUUUUUUGGGUUGAGGAAGAGGGAUAAGUUGGGUAGUACAGGAAAAGGGAAUAUACGUCAAAGGUCCCGAAUUCGAAACUUCCCACCUACCGUAAAAAAUUAAAGAAAAAAAAAUUUGCCUUCUCAAACUCUAGAAAUUCUCUGAGCAUGAAAAGUCUAAAAUUGCAUAUGAACUACUUCCUUAGUACUCCUUCAAAGAUUAUGUAUUUUGGCCUGAAAACAAAAAAAAAAAGCACUUAUGAAAAAAUCAUAAUUAAUCUUGAAAUUGGCAUGAAAAUUAAAAAAAAAAAGGAAAAAAAACACUUAUGAAAAAAUCACAAUUAAUCUUGAAAAAGUGCUCAUGGGAAACCCCUAAUAAUUUGAUAAAACACACAACACCAAAGAAUUAAUAAAGUCAUAUGUGGUACGGGGGAGGGAGUGUAAGUAAGAGGUUUCGGGUUCGAAUCCUCCCGCUUACACUAAAAAAAAAAAAAGUCAUAUGUGGUAAAAAAAAAUACAAUUGCUAAGAAUUCAUAGUAAAAGUUGUGCAGAGAAUUAUAAAUGAAACUUUUUUUUCAGGUAAGUGGAAGGUCUCGAACCCGAAAUCUCUCGCUUAUACUCCCUCUCUCAUACCAUCGAUUCCUCAAAAUUUAAUUUGAAAAAAAUCUAAUAGGGUCCAUUAAAAAUGAACCAUCAAGAGUGAGAUAGACAUUUGUUAGAAAAAGCAUAUCGAGAAUUCAACAUGACAACACAUGUGAUAAGGAUAAUAAUAAAUUUUAAGUUAAAGAUAUUUGUGGAAACAUUAUCCAAAGGGAAAAAAAGAAUACAGACAAAGAAGAUUGAGAGAAAAAAAUAGCUAGUCAAAGAGCACGUAGACAUUGAGAAAGAAAGUGUGGAAAACUCACUGUGUCAAAUAGCUAUAUGAGAAAAAGGUAAAAAACAACGGAUAAGUAUUAGAGUACAACUCUAUUUUAUAUAUAUAUACUAGGGGGAAGUGCCCGCGCAUCGCGCGGGUGUUUAGUGCCUGUGGGGAAGGAGGUUUUUUUGUUGAACAAACAAUAGUACAUUGUGAGAAGAAAUAAAACUUAGUAUAAAAAGAUAAACAAUAUAAUCAAUCAAUUCACACAGCAUUACAAUAAAACUGUGUCAAAUUGAAGGUCGUUGAUA
rnacentral:lncRNA from 1 species